rnacentral:rRNA from 1 species
AGUGAACGCUGGCGGUAGGCCUAACACAUGCAAGUCGAACGGCAGCACCGUAAGAGCUUGCUCUUACGGGUGGCGAGUGGCGGACGGGUGAGGAAUACAUCGGAAUCUACUUUUUCGUGGGGGAUAACGUAGGGAAACUUACGCUAAUACCGCAUACGACCUACGGGUGAAAGCAGGGGAUCUUCGGACCUUGCGCGAUUGAAUGAGCCGAUGUCGGAUUAGCUAGUUGGCGGGGUAAAGGCCCACCAAGGCGACGAUCCGUAGCUGGUCUGAGAGGAUGAUCAGCCACACUGGAACUUAGCCACGGUCCAGACUCCUACGGGAGGCAGCAGUGGGGAAUAUUGGACAAUGGGCGCAAGCCUGAUCCAGCCAUACCGCGUGGGUGAAGAAGGCCUUCGGGUUGUAAAGCCCUUUUGUUGGGAAAGAAAAGCAGCAGGUUAAGACCCCGCUGUUCUGACGGUACCCAAAGAAUAAGCACCGGCUAACUUCGUG